AGACGAAAACAUUGCCACACAUAGAAAAACAUGACUAAAUACAUUAUUUGCACACAAAGAAGACGCAUAGUGGCAGUUAUUCAAGGUUGCUUUUCGUUUCACAAGUAACCCUCUUUAUAUAAACAUAUCCACCAGUCUAUACACAAACAGUUGAACGGUAGCUGAACAAUGAACAAGUAGAUAUUAGUGUACAGCGUAGAUAUAUAUAAAGAUUGUAUGUGAGAUGAUAUAAACCACACAACUGAUGCAUUCAUUGCAAUUUUAUUUUAUUUUCUGUGUUUUAACACCACUUUUAAGCACCACUUGGCUAUUUUGUGGAGGCCAGUUUUUAUUUGUGGAGAAAGCCAGAGUGUCCGCAAAAAAACCCACCGACCUUCGAUAGGAAAACUGACAAUCCUAUUCAGUUAAGAUUGGAGUCGAGUGUACCUUAUUGCAAUUUGAAUAAAACCCCUCAGUUACGGUAGUCGGACAUUGAGCAGGACGAGACCAUCAUUUCAGAGCACAAGAAUGUGAUCCCCUCCGUUUUUUUAUGGAGUUCUUGCUGUCUUUUUUUUUUUCUAUGUUAAAAUGUUUUGUGUACGGUCUUUGUGUUGUUGUUUUGCCAUAAUAUGGUUCGUUUGUUUUUGACUUUUAAGAUUGAAUAUCCCUUUGACAUGUUUGCCUCUCUUUAUCAAUAAAUUGCUGAAAUACGACUUAUAUUUUUUUUUUCAUGUUUUAGCUGAUUGAGGUUAUACGACAAGCUGAUGAUGGCAUAGAACCAAAAGAAUUGUCAACGUGCAGGAAAGCUAGUUGUGUCAUUUGUUAAACCGGGCAUAAAAAAGUGGAAUUCUUAAUAAAAAAAACAACAACAGGAAAUUGAAUAUUUAAUCUUUUUAUGCUAAACUGAAACUUUACGAUACAAGGCAAUAAUUGUGUUUUAAAUAAAUUAGUUGAAGGUUAUGGGAAAAUAUUAUUUUGAUAAGUGAUAAAGUAGUAUUUUAAAAUAAAGUAGACAAAAAUAGGAAAAAAAAUAAAAUAUCAAUUUAUCCGUGAAUAUCUUUACCUUAAAAAUAUAUUCAGUUACUUAUAGUAGAGAAAUAAGUUGGCGAUAAAUUUAAGGAACAACCACUACAUUAAACAAAACUAGAUUUAGUUUAAAAUCUGAGCAAGACGAAAAUAUUCGUCAUUAAAGCUGAAAGUAAAAUUAAUGAAAUGUUCAUUAAAAAGUCCAGUACACAGUUCAUAUUUUUAAUUUUUUAAAGCUAUCAUGUUAUCAAUAAAUGAAAACUGUGGUAAAAAGCGACGAAGCCAUAGUUUGAUGUAGACUUGAAGGAUGAUAGGUUUCUUAGUCAAUCACAAAUAAGAUCGUUCUGUAUUGGGACUCAAAAUUAUUAAAGACAUUAAAAUUGAAAGUAUUUUUGUUUGUUUCUUUAGUUAUAU
rnacentral:lncRNA from 1 species